GCCGGUGUGAUGGAAUUGGCAGACGUAGCGGACUCAAAAUCCGCCGGUAGCGAUACCGUACCGGUUCAAGUCCGGUCACCGGCACCA
rnacentral:tRNA from 21 species